rnacentral:rRNA from 1 species
AUCACUAAGCGGUGGAAAAGAAACUAACCAGGAUUCCUCUAGUAACGGCGAGUGAAGAGGGACCAGCCCAGCACCGAAUCCCCUAGGUCGAGAGGCCCUGGGGAACUGUGGUGUUUAGGAGAGCCUUUGCGGCGGUCUGGGGCGUUCGAGUCCUCCUGAUCGGGGCUCUACCCAGAGAGGGUGUCAGGCCUCUAGGACCCUGACCUGGGCCGUCGCUUUGCGCACUCCUUGGAGUCGGGUUGUUUGAGAUUGCAGCCCAAAGUAGGUGGUAAACUCCAUCUAAGGCUAAAUACUGACACGAGUCCGAUAGC